rnacentral:rRNA from 1 species
GCCUAACACAUGCAAGUCGAACGAAGUCUUCGGACUUAGUGGCGGACGGGUGAGUAACACGUGGGAACGUGCCUUUAGGUUCGGAAUAACUCAGGGAAACUUGUGCUAAUACCGAAUGUGCCCUUCGGGGGAAAGAUUUAUCGCCUUUAGAGCGGCCCGCGUCUGAUUAGCUAGUUGGUGAGGUAAAGGCUCACCAAGGCGACGAUCAGUAGCUGGUCUGAGAGGAUGAUCAGCCACAUUGGGACUGAGACACGGCCCAAACUCCUACGGGAGGCAGCAGUGGGGAAUCUUGCGCAAUGGGCGAAAGCCUGACGCAGCCAUGCCGCGUGAAUGAUGAAGGUCUUAGGAUUGUAAAAUUCUUUCACCGGGGACGAUAAUGACGGUACCCGGAGAAGAAGCCCCGGCUAACUUCGUGCCAGCAGCCGCGGUAAUACGAAGGGGGCUAGCGUUGCUCGGAAUUACUGGGCGUAAAGGGAGCGUAGGCGGACAUUUAAGUCAGGGGUGAAAUCCCGGGGCUCAACCUCGGAAUUGCCUUUGAUACUGGGUGUCUUGAGUGUGAGAGAGGUAUGUGGAACUCCGAGUGUAGAGGUGAAAUUCGUAGAUAUUCGGAAGAACACCAGUGGCGAAGGCGACAUACUGGCUCAUUACUGACGCUGAGGCUCGAAAGCGUGGGGAGCAAACAGGAUUAGAUACCCUGGUAGUCCACGCC